UACGUAGGGUGCAGGCGUUAAUCGGAAUUACUGGGCGUAAAGCGCACGUAGGCGGCUUUUUAAGUCAGGGGUGAAAUCCCGGGGCUCAACCCCGGAACUGCCCUUGAAACUGGAGAGCUAGAAUCUUGGAGAGGCGAGUGGAAUUCCGAGUGUAGCAGUGAAAUGUGUAGAUAUUCGGAAGAACACCAGAGGCGAAGGCAGCGGGUUGGCGCUUUAUUGACGCUCAGGCACGAAAGCAUGGGGAUCAAACAGG
rnacentral:rRNA from 1 species